rnacentral:rRNA from 1 species
CACGUAGGGCGCAAGCGUUGUCCGGAAUUAUUGGGCGUAAAGAGCUCGUAGGCGGUCUGUUACGUCUGCUGUGAAAACCCGGGGCUUAACCCUGGGCUUGCAGUGGAUACGGGCAGACUAGAGGCAGGUAGGGAGAAUGGAAUUCCCGGUGUAGCGGUGAAAUGCGCAGAUAUCAGGAAGAACACCCGUGGCUAAGGCGGCUCUCUAGUACGGUACUGACGCUGAGACGCGAAAGCGUGGGAGCGAACAGG